UAGCGUAUAUUAAAGUUGUUGCAGUUAAAAAGCUCGUAGUUGAAGUUCUGGCUGUAUUGGGCCUCUGCACUUGAUGCGAAGGAACCAGCAGUCAUCCGCUUGCAAAUACAUGUUCUUCCUUAACCGGUAAACUGUAUAAGUAAGCAAUUUACCUUGAUAAAAACAGAGUGUUCCAGGCAGGUUUGUCCGGAAUGCGUUAGCAUGGAAUAAUAUAAUAUGACUAGAGUCGAUUUAUUGGUUAAAGGCUUUAGUAAUGAUUAAUAGGAACAAUCGGGGGCAUUGGUACUCGUCAGUCAGAGGUGAAAUUCUAAGAUUUGACUAAUACUAACUGAUGCGAAAGCGUUUGCCAAGAAUGUUUUCAUUAAUCAAAAACGAAAGUUAGGGGAUCAAAGACGAUUAUAUACCGUCCUAGUCUUAACUAUAAACUAUACCAACUCGGAUUCAGAUGAAUAUUAAAGUUCAUUUGGGACCGUACGAGAAAUCAAAGUCUUUGGGUUCUGAGGGGAGUAUGGUCGCAAGGCUGAAACUUAAAGGAAUUGACGGUUUUGCACCACCAUGGAUUGGAGCCUGCGGCUUAAUUUGACUCAGCACUGAGAAACUCUUCAGGGCAAGAAGAUUUUAGGAUUGACAGAUUGAGAGUUCUUUCUUGAUGGGUGUGGAGUUGGUGCAUGGCGGUUCUUGGGUGGGGGAGGGAUCAGUGUGGUAAAUUAAGUGAACGAACGAGACCGCAACAUCAUAGAUAGGACCCUGAUUUUCAAUCGGUGUCACCUCUGGGAGGG
rnacentral:rRNA from 1 species